CUAUACAUGCAGUCGAGCGGACAGAAGGGAGCUUGCUCCCGGAUGUUAGCGGCGGACGGGUGAGUAACACGUGGGUAACCUGCCUGUAAGACUGGGAUAACUCCGGGAAACCGGAGCUAAUACCGGAUAGUUCCUUGAACCGCAUGGUUCAAGGAUGAAAGACGGUUUCGGCUGUCACUUACAGAUGGACCCGCGGCGCAUUAGCUAGUUGGUGAGGUAACGGCUCACCAAGGCGACGAUGCGUAGCCGACCUGAGAGGGUGAUCGGCCACACUGGGACUGAGACACGGCCCAGACUCCUACGGGAGGCAGCAGUAGGGAAUCUUCCGCAAUGGACGAAAGUCUGACGGAGCAACGCCGCGUGAGUGAUGAAGGUUUUCGGAUCGUAAAGCUCUGUUGUUAGGGAAGAACAAGUGCAAGAGUAACUGCUUGCACCUUGACGGUACCUAACCAGAAAGCCACGGCUAACUACGUGCCAGCAGCCGCGGUAAUACGUAGGUGGCAAGCGUUGUCCGGAAUUAUUGGGCGUAAAGGGCUCGCAGGCGGUUUCUUAAGUCUGAUGUGAAAGCCCCCGGCUCAACCGGGGAGGGUCAUUGGAAACUGGGAAACUUGAGUGCAGAAGAGGAGAGUGGAAUUCCACGUGUAGCGGUGAAAUGCGUAGAGAUGUGGAGGAACACCAGUGGCGAAGGCGACUCUCUGGUCUGUAACUGACGCUGAGGAGCGAAAGCGUGGGGAGCGAACAGGAUUAGAUA
rnacentral:rRNA from 1 species